rnacentral:lncRNA from 1 species
CAGAGACAGGUACCGAAGAGGAGCAGACACAGAUGUAAAGUGUCAGCUUGAGUCUGCAGCCCCAGGAAGGAAAACGCCGUGAUUUUGGGAGCGGAUGAGCUCGGAUUCCGCAGCGAGACGACCGAACCUGGGAGCAGCAACCCCAAAGGCGAGCAGCGUUCACACUCAACCCCAAUGAUUCCCAAGCGAAACCCCCAAACCUCCCGAAGAGCUGGCAGCAAUUCCCC